rnacentral:rRNA from 1 species
AUUCGUGGUUUUAANUGCUAGUCGAGCGNGUNACAAUCCGGUGGCAACACCGGGGAAGACCUAGCGGCGAACGGGUGAGUAACACGUUGAGCAACCUGCCCCGAAGACUGGGAUAACACCGGGAAACCGGUGCUAAUACCGGAUGCCCUCCUCUGGUCGCAUGGCCGGAAGAGGAAAUGCCUGCAUCUAAUAAGUGCAGCACGCUUCGGGAGGGGCUCGCGGGCUAUCAGCUUGUUGGUGAGGUAACGGCUCACCAAGGCGACGACGGCUAGCUGGUCUGAGAGGACGACCAGCCACACUGGGACUGAGACACGGCCCAGACUCCUACGGGAGGCAGCAGUGGGGAAUCUUGCGCAAUGGGCGAAAGCCUGACGCAGCAACGCCGCGUGGGGGAUGAAGGCCCUCGGGUUGUAAACCCCUUUCAGCAGGGACGAAUUUGACGGUACCUGCAGAAGAAGCCCCGGCCAACUACGUGCCAGCAGCCGCGGUAAUACGUAGGGGGCGAGCGUUGUCCGGAUUUAUUGGGCGUAAAGAGCUCGUAGGCGGCUUGGCAAGUCGGGUGUGAAACCUCCAGGCUUAACCUGGAGACGCCACUCGAUACUGCCAUGGCUAGAGUCCGGUAGGGGACCACGGAAUUCCUGGUGUAGCGGUGAAGUGCGCAGAUAUCAGGAGGAACACCGGUGGCGAAGGCGGUGGUCUGGGCCGGCACUGACGCUGAGGAGCGAAAGCGUGGGUAGCAAACAGGAUUAGAUACCCUGGUAGUCCACGCCGUAAACGUUGGGCACUAGGUGUGGGGCCUUAUCAACGGGUUCCGUGCCGUAGCUAACGCAUUAAGUGCCCCGCCUGGGGAGUACGGCCGCAAG